rnacentral:pre_miRNA from 1 species
UAUAAGGGAUUUUGAGUUUCUGCUUGCAACGUUUGACCACUCGUCUUAUUCAAAAAAUUUUGAAAUUAUUAUUUAUUUUAUUUGUGAUUUACUUUAUUAUCUACAGUAUUUUAAGCACAACUUUUCAUUUUUUAAAUUUGUAAAAAAAAAUUAAAUAAGACGAGUGGUCAAACGUUGAAAAUAGAAACUCAAAAUCCCUUAUA